CAGCUCUUAAUGGAAAGGUUUGGGGGGGGAGUUGGAGGGAGCUGGGGGGGGGGUUCUAAGGGAAGGACUGUUAGCGUGGACCAAAACGACAUGAUUUCUGCUGUUCGUAUCUGAUACGGAAAUCUUUCCUCUUGAACUGAUGUUCUUGCUGUUGUCAAGGCAUAAAGUGCUUUCCUGGUCACCACCAAUGAAGCCGAACAUGUUUUCUAAUUAAUUAAAAGGCCAUGUAUUCAUUUUUAUAUCCAGAUGACUAGACCACUCCAAUACGAUCUGUUGGUGGAGUUGGUGAAAACAACGUGUAAAAAGAAGAUCGGUAAGAUAAAGAAAUAUGAGAAGAUCCAGAAAUGCAAGCAACUUCCAGGGAAUCACGAGAGACCCAACUGCCACUUUGCAGUUAGAGCCGGCAAUAUGCAGUUCAAAAUGAAGUUGAAAAUCACAGACUGCCUCUGAUCUGGGCCUCCGAAGAGCCUCUCCUGCUCAGACUAAGGAUGCUGAGUGUGUCCAUCAGCCGAGCAACCUCUGGUGUGCAAGCUGGGUUCACAGCAAGCUUUGCUUCUUCUGACACGACUCAAGAAUGAGACGGUUUGCUUAAGCCCAAAUUCACAUCUCCUGAGUUCCUGAAAUUGUUCCUUGACCUGCAAGGAGACCUUCCCUUGCACUUCUCCUCUUUUCCAUCAUUUUCAUCUUUGGGAAGAAUCCAUAUUUUGCUAAUUCAAUUAAUUAAUCUUAAUAAAGCUAUCAGCACGAUG